rnacentral:rRNA from 1 species
AAGUUUGACAUCCCGAAACUAGACGAGCUACUUUAAAACAGCUAUAGAGCUAACUCAUCCCUGUUGCAAAAUGGUGAGAAGAUUUUAAAGUAGAGGUGAUACACCUACCGAGCCUAGAGAUAGCUGGUUAUUCAAAAAAUGGAUUUAAGUCCAACUUUAAGUUUUUUCAGUUUACUAAACAAUUACUAAACUUAAAAGUCAUUCAAAUAAGGUACAGCCUGUUUGAACAAGGAAACAACCUACAAUAUAGGGUAAUAACCCUAAAUGUGGCCGAGUAGGCCUAAAAGCAGCCAUCCCCAAAAAGCGUCUAAGCUUCCCCACUAAUUAUACUUAAUCCCACUAUUAACCAACAACCCCUAUUUCCCCACUGAAUAACCCCAUACCAGUAUGGAAGAUAUUAUGCUAGGACUAGUAACAAGAAAAUGAACUUCUCCAAAAUGCAAGUGUAAGCCAAAAUAAACAUCUUAUCGGCAUUUACCGCAUAAUAGUAUAUUUCCUCAAGAAAACUCUACUAAUUCAAGCGCUAACCUAACACCAGAACAUUACUGGAAAGA